rnacentral:misc_RNA from 1 species
GGAAGUAAAAGUCGUAACAUGGUUUCCGUAGGUGAACCUGCGGAAGGAUCAUUAGUGAACGCCCUCACGGGCUUAUAACUAUUCCAAACCUCUGUGAACCGUGCCCUUCGGGGCUAUUUUACAAACAUGGUGUAAUGAACGUCAUAUAUCAUAACAAAACAAAACUUUCAACAACGGAUCUCUUGGCUCUC